rnacentral:lncRNA from 1 species
GGAGCGCUGGCAGGUCCGACUCCUCCAGACGGCGGCCGCGGCCGACCACGCGGUCCAGCUCCUCCUGCGCCCGCGCCAUCACGGACGGGUUCUUGAGCAUCUCCGCCAUCGCCCACUCCACGAUGAUCGACGACGUGUCCGUGCCCGCCGUGAACAUGUCCUGCGUACGUGCGCGUCCAUUGGAAAAUUAAUGAGCAAGAAUGCAACUCAACGGCUAAUAAUCAGAAGAUUAGUUUAUAGGUUGGUUGGAGACACGAUCGACGAUGCAUGGUCCCCGAGAUGUAGGUGAGAUUGUUCGAUAUUGUACGGCAUGAAUGUGAAUCUCAACAAACUUUGGUCAAGUGCAGUCAUCUGGGGUGUUUGAUACCCCAUGUUAAAGUUUAGCACAUGUCACAUCGGAUGUUUGAUGCUAAUUAGAAGUAUUAAAUAUAGGCUAAUUACAAAACUAAUUGCACAGAUGGAGUCUAAUUCGCGAGACAAAUCUCUUAAGCCUAAUUAGUCCAUGAUUUGACAAUGUAGUGCUACAGUAACCAUUUGCUAAUGAUAGAUUAAUUAGGCUUAAUAGAUUCAUCUCGCGAAAUAGCAUAGGGGUUCUGCAAUUAGUUUUAUAAUUAGAUCAUAUUUAGUCCUCCUAAUUAGCAUCCGAACAUCCGAUGUGACACUGCUAAAGUUUAGCACCUAGUAUCCAAACACCCUGAACUUGUUCAUUUAUUUCACCAUUUUAGUUCACUAUCUAUCGAUACCUAACAAGUUGGUGAGUUUAGACUUGAGAUCAGUGGUGCAUUGUUUUCGUAAAAGAAAGUUGAACAGAAGAUAAAAAAAGUGACCGGUGACUUGAUGAGUAUGCUAGCGGUAGCAGCAAGCAACUCUGCACCAACCGAGUACCGGGCAUGAGUAGGCUACCUUAACUUCCAGCCAACUUAACAACUAAACUAUAUAUGGAUAGAUCCAUUGUUUACGAAUUCAGGUAUGUUGGUGAUCAGUUUCUUUUCAAGUUUGGCCCCGAAAAGUUUAUGCUUUUACUACACCUUUCAGUGGCAAAUUAAAACAGCAGCAGUACAUUGCAAGGUAUGCAAGUGAGUUGAGAACAACAGGUGGUUACAGCAUCACUAAUCCAGAACAAUUUUUAUUACGUCAAGCACAGUGUACCUUAUGCUCCCUCCGUUCCAAAUUGUAGGUCUUUUUAACUUUUCUAAAUUCAUAGAUAUUAUUAUGCAUCUAGACGUACCCUACAUUUUGGAACGGAGGGAGUAUUAGAGAAAACAAAAUUCAUGGAUGGUGAUCACCAGUUCCUUGUCAACAUCUUUGGUCUACGGGAACACUGCUCUACAACAAUUUUGGUACUGUCAGUUUUGUAUUUACCCUAGAUAGCGAUCGAUCAAUAUGGAGGCAGGUGUCGUCAUAAAGUUGUGGGUGUACCGUGUGUACGUAGUAAAGAUAUCGAGGUUCAGACUUGAGUCAAGGCCACAGGAGUCAGUAGGAUGUCAUGUUGAGAGCCCUGCUUGUCCAAACCUUAACAACCGUUAGUGGUUUUGGUUGCCUGAGUAGUCACGGCGCGGGCUAGGCUCAAUGAUAUCAGUGUUGACACUCACCAAUAAUCACAACUAGAUCAUGCUUCAAGGCAACAGCCUUCGCACCAUAGGUUCACUUGCCUACAAAAUUCUUCUGGGAAAUGACAUAAGGACAGGAAGUAGAGUGCAAAUAUAUCCCUAGGUAUAAAUGUCUCUUUAUUUCUUUCCUGAUAGACUGUUUCACUUGUUAUUACUAAGAAUUACGUGGCUUUCACUAAUUAAUUUCUAUAUGAUCUUGGAACACACCAUUUUUCCCCCAAAAUUUCAUUUAGAAUAUACUCCAUAAGAAUAUAUUUUAUUAUUGUAGUGUUUCUUCCAAAGAGGGCUUUUUGUUUGUUUUCAGAAAAAAAAAACCCUCCUCUUUAGGGUGAGGAUUCGAGGAUCCCUUCCCUUCCCCCCCCCCCCCCCCCCCCCCCCCCCCCCCAACCCCACCCACAUUUUUUUUCAGUAAAAAAAGCUUCUACUGAUAUCAAAACAAUGUAAGAGGUGAUCGCAACUAUCUUGAGAUCAGCCGCCUCUGCAUGCAAAACAGACACGCUAAACAACCAUCAAUUUGCAGACUAGAUUGUCAUGCACCCAUAUGCCGGGGUAAAAAGAAAUUUAUUGGCCACCUUCUCCAAUUGUUGACACGCCGUAGCAAGAAAUAAUUUUGGCCACCACAUGUAUAGACUUUUGUAUUUAAAAAAUAUAUGUUGUCAUGUUCCAAUCUAGUAAAAACAUUCCAGUUAGAGAAAAUGUUCGAGAAAAUUGUAUUUUUUUCUUGUUUAAUUUCACCUACUUUUAUAUUUCGGCCUUAUUAAUUGUUACUGGAUUUAUCCAACGCUUUUGCAAAAGUUAAUGAUCCAGGGACCGCAAAUCUAUGGGCAGCUAAAUAGAUUGUCCCAAAAAAAAAAUCCUAAAAGCUAAGUGAAUUCUGGGGACUAGGUAAACAUCAUCUUUGCGUAAAAGCAUGCAUUUUGUUCUAGGAAUUUGACAGAACAAGCCAUCAGCUAUCACCUCACUUGACUGAUCAUGGUUGUGGAAGGCUCCAAACUGUACCAUCAGUUCGACCACUAACCAAACAUAUCAGCUCGAGCGUGCUUUCGGUCGUCGUCGCUUUCCAACAACUCGAUCCACUAGUAGCUCCACCUACCUCACUUCACUCGUUCCCGCCCGGUCAUGGAAGCCGCGCGCGCCCCACGAAUUGCACCCGCACCAAUGUGGCAUGCAUUAUUCUUUUUUAAAUAAAGCAGGAGAGCUGCCGAUUAUAUUAAACAAAGAUGAAGUCUGGACUAGACAAUACAGCAAAUGGAAGAAAAAAUAACAUGAGCAGAUUGGAUUAGGACAUCGACACGAUCUGAAACAACUUUGGCCGGUCGGAUUGGGACAUCAACACGAUCCCGCAACAACAACAUGGCAUGCGUUACAAUUACACAGCUAGAGCUAGCUUUCGGUUGAAUAGUGCCCCAUGUUAGGUAGUGGCUACUACAUCUCGGAGCGAUGGAUCAGUCAAUGAGUACGUAAAGCAAGCAAUGGAGGAAAGAAAUUAACUAAAAGCAGUAAGUAAGUAAUGGAUGAGCCAGGUCGAGCGCUUACGAAGAUGAGGCCCUUGAUGUUGACCUCGGUGAUGGUCUCGCCGCUGUCGUCGUCGGCGCCGGCGUCCAUGGCGGCGCGGAGCCUGUCGACGAAGUCCUGGCGGCCGUGACGCGCGCGGUCGGCGGCCGUCGCGGCGUGCUCCGCCAGCAGCUUGGUGAUGAGGCCGUCGAACUGGUGGUGGAUCCGCCGCAGUUUGGCCUGCACGCCCUGCAGGUCCAGGCGCGCCAGCGCCGGCACGAAGUCGCUGAUGUUGAACAGGCCCGCGCCCGUCAGCAGCGACACGAUCAUGUCCUUGUAGCUGAUGCAAUGAUGCGACAUGAUAGUAUGAUACGGACAUUAUGUUUUGCACACCAUAUUUUGGAUAAAAAAAGAUUUAAUUUGUGUUAGUCCGAUGCUUUUCACGGUUUCACUUUCUAAGUUUUGGUGAGCGACUCUCUUCACUGACAGGGACUUCACGGUUCAGUCAUUGGCAGCUGGCAGAUACAGAUUUUUUAAGUACGGACAUCAUACAUAGGUCACUACCUCAACUAAACCUAAUUGAUUAUUCGUCUGUCUAAAGGACAGUUCCGAUUAGUUCUUAUUUUCUGAGUAUUUGCGAGGAAGUACGAUCCAAAUUUUAAUUAUAUCUAAACUAAAGGCACCGAUUAUCCUGAAAUGUGGGGAAAAUGUGGUUUUUUAUUUAUUCACUUCUAGAAGCGACUUUAUUAAUUUAUCUUUCUGUUCGAUCUCAACACAUAAUUAUCUUUUUAAGAAAUUUGAAUUUUUAUGAUAUCCAUCGAACCGCACGCAUACAGGUCCUCACUCACCUGUUGGACUCCUCCCCCUGCGCGUCGAACACCCGCUUGCUGACGGUGAUCUGGCCGACGAUGUUGGCGAGCGCGCAGACGAGCACCUCCGGCACGACGACGGGCCUCCCCGCCGCGGCCGCCUCCGCCAUCCCCCGCAGCAGGUGCCCCGCCUCGUCGCGGCGCACGCACGCCCAGUCGGCGAGCGCGCGCGCCCCGAGCAGGUGCACGCUGGCCAGCUUCCGCAUCAGCUUCCACUUGGGCCCGUAGUUGGCGAACACCAUGUUCUGGCACCCGUACGUGAUGUCGGCGGCGCUGGCCACGGCGGGGCGGUUGGCGUACGGCGCGUCCAGCGCCUUGAGGAACGCCCGCGCCGCGGCGGGCGACGACGCCACCACCACGCCGGCGGUGCCCAUCUUGAGGUACAUGACGGGCCCGUACCUGCGGGCCAGCGCGGCGAGGCCGGCGUGCGGGGCCGGGCCGACGAGCGGCAGCGCGCCGAGGAUGGGGAGCCCCGGCGGGCCCGGUGGGAGGCGGCCGCGGCCGGAGGAGGAGGAGAGGGAGCGGCGGAGCGCGAGGUGGAGGAAGAGGCAGAGGAAGGCGCAGGAGAGCACGACGGGGUCGGUGCAGAGUGUGGCGAGCUGCAUGGUGGCCGGUGGGCGGUGGCGCG